GAUGAACGCUGGCGGCGUGCUUAACACAUGCCAGUCGAACGGUGAAGGCGGAGCUUGCUCUGCUGGAUCAGUGGCGAACGGGUGAGUAACACGUGAGCAAUCUGCCCCUGACUCUGGGAUAAGCGCUGGAAACGGCGUCUAAUACUGGAUACGAGCUGCGAAGGCAUCUUCAGCAGCUGGAAAGAACUUCGGUCAGGGAUGAGCUCGCGGCCUAUCAGCUUGUGGGUGGGGUAACCGCUCCCCAAGGCCUCGACGGGUAGCCGGCAUGAGAGGGUGACCGGCCACACUGGGACUGAGAGACGGCCCAGACUCGUACGGGAGGCAGCAGUGGGGAAUAUGGCACAAUGGGCGAAAGCCUGAUGAAGCAACGCCGCGUGAGGGAAGACGGCCUUCGGGUUGUAAACCUCUUGUAGCAGGGAAGAAGCGAAAGUGACGGUACCUGCAGAAAAAGCGCCGGCUAACUACGUG
rnacentral:rRNA from 1 species